UCGGAGGGCUUGGCCUUGUCGCACGACGUGCGGGGCGGCAGGACCGGCAAGCCCGCAGCAUUGCGAGGGGGCAAAGCGUACGCGAGCAGCGUGGUGCCCUUUUUCAUAUGCUGCUGCUGGUCCUUAAGAGCAGGUGGUGUUGCAGUAUCAACGCCGCCAUACGCGCCGGUGCCGGGGGUCGUGCCCGCGUCAGCCAUGGUUCAAAUUGGAAAGGCGAUAGUCGCCAAGUCGGCUGUACAAGCGCCAAACUGAUGUCAAAAAUAUGUAAAUAAG
rnacentral:lncRNA from 1 species